UGUCGGUCCCCCCGCAGCGAACUGUUGUGAACCCCGUCAGGCCCGGAAGGGAGCAGCGGUAACAGCAGCGUCGGGUGCCGGGGUGUGGCUGGCGCGG
rnacentral:SRP_RNA from 1 species